AUUAAAAUGACAAAGUAAUAUUUACACAACCUGGUGUCCUACCAGUAAGUAUUAAUUAAAAAAACAAACAAACAAAAAAAAUAAAACAUUUUGAAAAUAACCCUUGCAUUUUCCUUUUAAACGGUUCAUUUUGCAAUUAAUGCCCAUAUUCUGCAAUCCUAUAUUAAAUAGUUAAUUUGAGACAGAACCUAUGGGUUAAGACUUGAUUUACAUUUCAAAAGGCCUCCUAUAAUUAGGUUUAAAAGGAAUUAAAAAAAAAAAUAAAACAUGGUGGUACUUUAGUCCAAAAUUAGCCAAUCCAGCGAUCUAGGUUCUUUUCAUGGCUAAGGUCGAGAUAAAGUAUUAAGAGUUUUAAAAAUCUGUUUCUAUACAAUGUACAUGAAUUUAGAAAAGGAUAGACUGGUUAACGUUACUUGUUUUCACAAUCUAAGAAUCCUUAGCGGACACCAUUUAAUGACUACACUUACAGAUUCCUUUUUUACUCGCUUUCUGAUUGCCUCAAUAAUGAUUGAGGAGAGAAUGAGGCCUCUUGAAUAGAGGUCUGUAAUUAGCAGUAGAUGCAUAUAAAACGCUUCUAACCAAAGCCUAACACCCACAAUCCUUUGGGAUCACAGUAUGUUACAAGGAUGAAAUGGUUAACAGUGCAUUACGCAGCAUACAUAUAAAGGCUAACGAGAUAAAGAAAAACACUUAAGCUAAAAACGGCAGAGCUUCUGGAAUGUGUAAAAUAGAGCCAUUUAGAAAGAUGAAAAAGUUUAUAAAUAGGUUGUGUAAUUCCAAUGGUACGAGAUGAGAGAAUGACGGGUGUUAUUUUUAAUAUAAUGUGAAUAGGAUUUAGUCCUGUCAUCAUGUCCGCAAUGAUUCAUUAAAUUAAGGGGGGGGAUAUCUAGGCAGUAUAAUAACACUACGGACAAAAAUAGGGGGAUGGUACCCUAACCGUUAUAAUGUGCCGUAGGAAAAUUAGAGCAAGAUUUACUAAACUAGAAAUUGUCUGGACCUAACCAGAGAAUUUACAAUUUGUAGGUCACAACAAUCAAGAAUGAAAAACUUAACUUUUUUUAUUUUUGCCAUUUUUAAAUUCUCAUGUCAAUUAUCAUAAAUUUUCAUUUUAGCAAAUAAGCGUAAGAAUUGUGUGCAUUCCUACGUGUUCAGCUUAAAACGUACUAGUGGGAAAAAGUUGAUUCAUGAUUUAGGGAUAACAAGGGAAAGAAAUUACAGAUCAUUGAGAGGGUGAGGCUGGACGAAAGGCCAAUGUGGUUAGAGGAAUUGAUCAGCGUUUGCUUGUCAUUGGACGUCUGAGUACUUGUUGCUCAUUGCGAGUCCGAAGUAUGGUUUCUCUGGGUUUUCUGAACAAAGGCAAGGUAAAUUAAACUAUGUUUAACCCUGUUAAAGUACAGAAGAAAAUAUACAUACAUAUAUAUCUACUUUGUGCAAUUUAGGCAACUUCACUUGAAACACAAUCUACUAUGAAUUUAUCGUUGGUUCCCCUUUCAUCUUUAGUCAUUGCGUUGUAGGGUUUGGAACAUGGCUCCAUGAGAUGAUAAACUUGGUGACAGAAUGCUAUAAGGUCACUUUAGAGGUUUUUAUUUUAUCAUCUGAUCAGCUAAAUUAAGUUUGAAUUACAACCACGUGCUUAAUGUGAAACGUAUGCUUAAAUUCUAAACCGGUAACUUACCGGUUAAGGCCACAAUACCUUAUUUAUCAGUGUAUCUUAUAAGGCAUAUCCCAGAGGCGUUAUAUAAAACAUGUCUUGUUCAGGGAGGUGUCUUGUGGGUAGGAUUCACCACAUAUUUCUUACAGUUAUAAUUCUGCCUCUUUACUUUUUUCCCAGUGUGACGAUGGGGUUGAAAUUAUACAUAUGUAUCCAAACUCCAUUUUAAAAAUAUUAAUUAAAAAAUAUUAGACUUAUUGCUUUUCAACUGAACUUAGACCCACUUUAUGUUGCAUUUUGUCUUGGGCUGUUAAGGGAUGUUCUGUUGGCCUACACGCAUAGAUUAAUAUCUUCCCUUCAAGUUGACUAAUUUCACAUCUUUACUUAAUGUUUCCUGUGCAUAUAACAGAUCAUUUUGAACUCUUCUAGAAUAUCAGCUUGCCAGCAUUUUCUGAUGUCAUUCCACAAUUUCUCUUCUACUCUGAUUUAGGUUAUAUCAGAGAAGUCUACAGUUUGAUAGCUAUUAUUUUAGCUGCUUAGCUGAUAACUCCUCCCCAUCAUCUCCAACAAACCUGAUCCCCUCCCACUGGUCCACAACAAGAAAAUAGAAAAAUGUGCAACACUAUGUGGGAACAAUAUGUGACUACCAAGACACCUUCAUAUUAGACAAAUACC